UCCCAGGGUAGAAACUGAGUGGG
rnacentral:piRNA from 1 species